GCGCACCAGGCGCGAAAACUUCACAAUGUGCGAAAGCACGAUGAGGGAAUCCCAAGUGCUUGCACGUAAGUGUAAGCUGUUUCUCUGUCUAAAACGCAGAGAGAGUAAGGGCUGGGUAAGACGGGUGCCAGCCGCCGCGGUAAUACCUGCAGCUCGAGUGGUGACCGUUAUUAUUGGGCCUAAAACGUCCGUAGCCGGUUUAAUAAAUGCCUGGGUAAAUCGGACCGCUUAACGGUUCGAAUUCCGGGUAGACUGUUAAACUUGAGACCGGGAGAAGUUAGAGGUACUCCUGGGGUAGAGGUGAAAUUCUGUAAUCCUAGGGGGACCACCAGUGGCGAAGGCGUCUAACUAGAACGGGUCUGACGGUGAGGGACGAAGCCCUGGGGCGCAAACGGGGAUUAGAUACCCCGGUAGU
rnacentral:rRNA from 1 species